UACGAAGGGUGCAAGCGUUACUCGGAAUUACUGGGCGUAAAGGGCGCGUAGGCGGCCACCGCAAGUCGACUGUGAAAUCUCCGGGCUUAACCCGGAAAGGUCAGCCGAUACUGCGGGGCUAGAGUGCAGAAGGGGCAACUGGAAUUCUCGGUGUAGCGGUGAAAUGCGUAGAUAUCGAGAGGAACACCUGCGGCGAAGGCGGGUUGCUGGGCUGACACUGACGCUGAUGCGCGAAAGCUAGGGGAGCGAACGGG
rnacentral:rRNA from 1 species